rnacentral:rRNA from 1 species
ACGCUCGACACCUACGGGACGCAGCAGUGGGGAAUAUUGCACAAUGGGGGAAACCCUGAUGCAGCGACGCCGCGUGAGUGAAGAAGUAUUUCGGUAUGUAAAGCUCUAUCAGCAGGGAAGAAGAUGACGGUACCUGAGUAAGAAGCCCCGGCUAACUACGUGCCUGCAGCCGCGGUAAUCUGAGCGGGCUGGCAAGGC